UAGGGAAUAUUGGACAAUGGGCGAAAGCCUGAUCCAGCAAUGCCGCGUGUGUGAAGAAGGCCUGCGGGUUGUAAAGCACUUUCAAUUGGGAAGAAAAGUUCUUGGCUAAUAAUCAAGUACCUUGACGUUACCAAUAUAAGAAGCACCGGCUAACUCUGUGCCAGCAGCCGCGGUAAUACAGAGGGUGCAAGCGUUAAUCGGAAUUACUGGGCGUAAAGCGUGCGUAGGUGGCUAUGUAAGUCAGAUGUGAAAGCCCAAGGCUUAACCUUGGAAUUGCAUUUGAUACUGCUUAGCUAGAGUACAGUAAAGGGAAGCGGAAUUCCUAGUGUAGCGGUGAAAUGCGUAGAUAUUAGGAGGAACACCAGUGGCGAAGGCGGCUUCCUAGACUGAUACUGACACUGAGGUACGAAAGCGUGGGGAGCAAACAGG
rnacentral:rRNA from 1 species